GCGGGCGUGGUGGAAUUGGCAGACACGAAGGUUUUAGGAGCCUUUGCUUCGGUGUGUGGGUUCGAGUCCCACCGUCCGCACCA
rnacentral:tRNA from 1 species